GUUAGCUAUCAGGGGAGAGGGAAGCAAGAGGACUCACAUGAAGAGGAGGUUUACGCUGAGAAGGAACUGGAAAGGUUUGAUGGGCUCAAAGUCAUGCCGUCAGAGUCUACCUGUCUUUCUAACAGUGAUGGAGAAUAAUGGAGUGUGGAGGAAUAAACAGGAAUAAACCCUUUCCUCCUCAAGUUGCCUUGGCUGCAGACUCUGGCUCUAGUUACAUCGUGUCUAUGAAGCCACUGCCCCUCAGACCUCUGGGAAUUGCAGAUUGAAUUACUGUCAUGCUCAGUGUGAUAGGCAGAGAUCAGCUUCAAAGAGGAGGACUUAAAUUUCAGCUCAUUCACAGCAGCAGUGGGUAUGGAAGCCAAAUACCAAGA